AGUGAACGCUGGCGGUAGGCCUAACACAUGCAAGUCGAACGGCAGCACAGUAAGAGCUUGCUCUUACGGGUGGCGAGUGGCGGACGGGUGAGGAAUACAUCGGAAUCUACUUUUUCGUGGGGGAUAACGUAGGGAAACUUACGCUAAUACCGCAUACGACCUACGGGUGAAAGCAGGGGAUCUUCGGACCUUGCGCGAUUGAAUGAGCCGAUGUCGGAUUAGCUAGUUGGCGGGGUAAAGGCCCACCAAGGCGACGAUCCGUAGCUGGUCUGAGAGGAUGAUCAGCCACACUGGAACUGAGACACGGUCCAGACUCAUACGGGAGGCAGCAGUGGGGAAUAUUGGACAAUGGGCGCAAGCCUGAUCCAGCCAUACCGCGGGGGUGAAGAAGGCCUUCGGGUUGUAAAGCCCUUUUGUUGGGAAAGAAAAGCAGCAGGUUAAUACCCCGCUGUUCUGACGGUACCCAAAGAAUAAGCACCGGCUAACUUCGU
rnacentral:rRNA from 1 species